rnacentral:tRNA from 1 species
GGAGGUUUGGCUCAGCGGCAUAAGCACCUGCCUUGCAAGCAGGCAGUCGUGACAAUCCCCG